UCCCAGUUCGAAUUGAAGGCUGAAAUUCGCCUUCAUGAAGUCGGAAUUGCUAGUAAUGGCAGGUCAGCAUACUGCCGUGAAUACGUUCCCGGGCCUUGUACACACCGCCCGUCACACCAUGAGAGUUGGAGAUACCCGAAGCCUGUGAGCUAACAGAAAUGGAGCAGCAGUCGAAGGUAGAGCCAAUGAUUGGGGUGAAGUCGUAACAAGGUAUC
rnacentral:rRNA from 1 species